CCUAACAAACACCGACGCCCACGCGAAAUGGCUCGCUUCCUUAAACCCUUACCCCUUCUUCGCCGCUCCUUCCUUUCCGUUCCCGGCAGCCACCCCUCCGCCUUCGACGAGAACCUCCUCCGCCUCCUACGCAACGAGAUCUCCUACCUCUCCGCCUACCUCCGCCCUCGCCCGCCGCCGCAGCGCUUCAGGUCGUUCUCCAUCGAGGACCGCCCCGGCGAGCAGUGGAUCCGCCUCCGGAGCAAGCACGGUGAUGAGGACGUCAAGGUCGACGUCACCAUGUUCGACGGCGCCGCGCCCGUCCCCUCCGCCCCGAUCGCCGAGAAGGUGAAGGCUUUGGAGCGCGGUCCCCGCCUCCACAUCAGCCUCAUCGUUGAGGUCUCCCGGGGCGAGGCCUCCGACUCCGUCCUCGAACUCAUCUGCUCCGCUUGGCCCGAUUCCCUCGUCGUUGAGACGCUCUUCCCUCUGCACCGGAAGGUCGCUGUCUUUCGCCCAUACUUUGGUCGCAACUUCAAGAAUUUGGAGCAGGAGGUGCGGAGGCAGGUGAUCUCGUAUCUGGAGGAGCGCGGGGUGGACGACGAUCUCGCGGAGUUCUUGCAUGAGUAUAUGACCAACAAGGACAAAGUGGAGCUCCUUCGAUGGUUGAGGAUCGUCGAGUCUUAUGUCCUGAAGUAGAGAGGUUGAACACCUAUUUAUUGAUCUUCUUCUUGCGACUGCACCUAACAAUUACCUCUAUUAUUCUGUACAAAAUCUCACUGGUCUAUGUUAACCAGUUAAAGAAGUUGUCUUGAGACACCAUUCCAUGGUUGCAGAUGUAGAUGAUCAGGAGCAAUGUUGGGGAUAGAGAAGCGUCUUGUAUAUGGAUUGGCCAUAAGAUCACUUGGGAACUUCUGCCAACUGUUGCAACAUCUCUUCGACACUACGUCUCUAUCACCUUCUUCUUUAUUAAAAAGUGCUUCCUACUGUGGUCACUAAUUGAGGGAAGUGAGAAACAUUCCUACUCCAUUCUUUCUAAUGAAAAGUUCAUCAUGUUGCUUUA